UUCAAGACGGUUGACAGGUAGCAGUAGUGAAUCACAUAUUCUCCUGUCUCAUCUGCCUUAUCAUCAGUGACACAGGCUGCCAACAUCUGAGGUUAAGAAUACAAACUGAGAUCAAUUACACAUAUGAAGCAAUUUGCCUCAUAUAUUGUACAACUAGAUCAUGAGUUCCAAAACUAUGUUAAUCCUCAGACUUUAAAUGUGACAUCCAUAACCCCUAUCAGUGUACAGACAUGGAUCAAGGCCAUGAGCUUAAAAUAUAUUACCAUGAAUGAGUUCAUCACACCCAAGCACAUUUCAAGAGUAAAUAAAUGGGUGUCCCAAUGCUCUGAGGCAUUAAUAAAAGGUAUCGAAACAGCAACAGAAAUAAAAUCCCUCAUGACACUCAGAUAACAUCCUCCUCAAAAGAGCAAAAUGUCAUUACUGUCCUACU
rnacentral:lncRNA from 1 species